AUUGAACGCUGGCGGCAGGCUUAACACAUGCAAGUCGAGCGGGGUGAUGGUGCUUGCACUAUCACUUAGCGGCGGACGGGUGAGUAAUGCUUAGGAAUCUGCCUAUUAGUGGGGGACAACAUCUCGAAAGGGAUGCUAAUACCGCAUACGUCCUACGGGAGAAAGCAGGGGAUCACUUGUGACCUUGCGCUAAUAGAUGAGCCUAAGUCGGAUUAGCUAGUUGGUGGGGUAAAGGCCUACCAAGGCGACGAUCUGUAGCGGGUCUGAGAGGAUGAUCCGGCCGACUGGGACUGGGACACGGCCCAGACUCCUACGGGAGGCAGCAGUGGGGAAUAUUGGACAAUGGGGGGAACCCUGAUCUAGCCAUGCCGCGUGUGUGAAGAAGGCCUUAUGGUUGUAAAGCACUUUAAGCGAGGAGGAGGCUCUUUUGGUUAAUACCCAAGAUGAGUGGACGUUACUCGCAGAAUAAGCACCGGCUAACUCUGUGCCAGCAGCCGCAGUAA
rnacentral:rRNA from 1 species